GAUGAACGCUGGCGGCGUGCCUAAUACAUGCAAGUCGAGCGAACAGACGAGGAGCUUGCUCCUCUGACGUUAGCGGCGGACGGGUGAGUAACACGUGGAUAACCUACCUAUAAGACUGGGAUAACUUCGGGAAACCGGAGCUAAUACCGGAUAAUAUAUUGAACCGCAUGGUUCAAUAAUGAAAGACGGUUUUGCUGUCACUUAUAGAUGGAUCCGCGCCGCAUUAGCUAGUUGGUAAGGUAACGGCUUACCAAGGCGACGAUGCGUAGCCGACCUGAGAGGGUGAUCGGCCACACUGGAACUGAGACACGGUCCAGACUCCUACGGGAGGCAGCAGUAGGGAAUCUUCCGCAAUGGGCGAAAGCCUGACGGAGCAACGCCGCGUGAGUGAUGAAGGUCUUCGGAUCGUAAAACUCUGUUAUUAGGGAAGAACAAAUGUGUAAGUAACUAUGCACGUCUUGACGGUACCUAAUCAGAAAGCCACGGCUAACUACGUG
rnacentral:rRNA from 1 species